rnacentral:rRNA from 1 species
GUAGCCUCAGUCGUCG